rnacentral:rRNA from 1 species
AGCGAACGCUGGCGGCAGGCCUAACACAUGCAAGUCGAACGAACUCUUCGGAGUUAGUGGCGGACGGGUGAGUAACACGUGGGAACGUGCCUUUAGGUUCGGAAUAACUCAGGGAAACUUGUGCUAAUACCGAAUGUGCCCUUCGGGGGAAAGAUUUAUCGCCUUUAGAGCGGCCCGCGUCUGAUUAGCUAGUUGGUGAGGUAAAGGCUCACCAAGGCGACGAUCAGUAGCUGGUCUGAGAGGAUGAUCAGCCACAUUGGGACUGAGACACGGCCCAAACUCCUACGGGAGGCAGCAGUGGGGAAUCUUGCGCAAUGGGCGAAAGCCUGACGCAGCCAUGCCGCGGGAAUGAUGAAGGUCUUAGGAUUGUAAAAUUCUUUCACCGGGGACGAUAAUGACGGUACCCGGAGAAGAAGCCCCGGCUAACUUCGG